rnacentral:misc_RNA from 1 species
GAUGAAGAACGUAGCGAAAUGCGAUAAGUAAUGUGAAUUGCAGAAUUCAGUGAAUCAUCGAAUCUUUGAACGCACAUUGCGCCCGCCAGUAUUCUGGCGGGCAUGCCUGUUCGAGCGUCAUUACAACCCUCAGGCCCCCGGGCCUGGCGUUGGGGAUCGGCGGAAGCCCCCUGCGGGCACAACGCCGUCCCCCAAAUACAGUGGCGGUCCCGCCGCAGCUUCCAUUGCAUAGUAGCUAACACCUCGCAACUGGAGAGCGGCGCGGCCACGCCGUAAAACACCCAACUUCUGAAUGUUGACCUCGAAUCAGGUAGGAAUACCCGCUGAACUUAAGCAUAUCAAUAAGCGGAGGA